rnacentral:rRNA from 1 species
GACGAACGCUGGCGGCGUGCUUAACACAUGCAAGUCGAACGAGAAUCUACUGAAAGAGUUUUCGGACAAUGGAUGUAGAGGAAAGUGGCGGACGGGUGAGUAACGCGUGAGGAACCUGCCUUGAAGAGGGGGACAACAGUUGGAAACGACUGCUAAUACCGCAUGACGCAUAGAGGUCGCAUGAUCUUUAUGCCAAAGAUUUAUCGCUUCAAGAUGGCCUCGCGUCUGAUUAGCUGGUUGGCGGGGUAACGGCCCACCAAGGCGACGAUCAGUAGCCGGACUGAGAGGUUGAACGGCCACAUUGGGACUGAGAUACGGCCCAGACUCCUACGGGAGGCAGCAGUGGGGAAUAUUGGGCAAUGGGCGCAAGCCUGACCCGGCAACGCCGCGUGAAGGAAGAAGGCUUUCGGGUUGUAAACUCUUUUAAGAGGGAAGAGCAGAAGACGGUACCUCUAGAAUAAGCCACGGCUAACUACGUG